AACGAACGCUGGCGGCAGGCCAAAUACAUGCAAGUCGAACGAACCCUUCGGGGUGAGUGGCGCACGGGUGAGUAACGCGUGGGAACGUGCCCCUGGGUGCGGAACAACAGCUGGAAACGGCUGCUAAUACCGCAUAAUGACUUCGGUCCAAAGAUUUAUCGCCCAGGGAUCGGCCCGCGUCUGAUUAGCUAGUUGGUGAGGUAAAGGCUCACCAAGGCGACGAUCAGUAGCUGGUCUGAGAGGAUGAUCAGCCACACUGGGACUGAGACACGGCCCAGACUCCUACGGGAGGCAGCAGUAAGGGAUAUUGGACAAUGGAGGAAACUCUGAUCCAGCCAUGCCGCGUGAGUGAAGAAGGCCCUCGGGUUGUAAAACUCUUUCAGUAGUGAAGAUGAUGACGGUAACUACAGAAGAAGCUCCGGCUAACUUCGUGCCAGCAGCCGCGGUAAUACGAAGGGGGCGAGCGUUGUCGGAAUCACUGGGCUUAAAGCGUACG
rnacentral:rRNA from 1 species